rnacentral:rRNA from 1 species
GAUGAACGCUAGCGGCAGGCUUAACACAUGCAAGUCGAGGGGUAGAGGCUUUCGGGCCUUGAGACCGGCGCACGGGUGCGUAACGCGUAUGCAAUCUGCCUUGUACUGGGGGAUAGCCCAGAGAAAUUUGGAUUAAUACCCCAUAGUAUUUUCGGUUGGCAUCAACUGAUUAUUAAAGUUUUUCGGUACAAGAUGAGCAUGCGUCCCAUUAGCUAGUUGGUAUGGUAACGGCAUACCAAGGCUACGAUGGGUAGGGGUCCUGAGAGGGAGAUUCCCCACACUGGUACUGAGACACGGACCAGACUCCUACGGGAGGCAGCAGUGAGGAAGAUUGGUCAAUGGUCGCAAGACUGAACCAGCCAUGCCGCGUGCAGGAUGAAGCAUCUAUGGUGUGUAAACUGCUAUUGUACGGGAAGAAACACUCCUACGUGUAGGGGCUUGACGGUACCGUAAGAAUAAGGAUCGGCUAACUCCGUGCCAGCCGCCGCGGUAAAAC